UUGGUUUUCAUGGACUGGCUGCGAUCCUCAUAUGUAGAUAUCGAGCAAGCCGGACCACUCAUCUCAGAGCAUUUCCUCCUUGAUAAGCUCAUGCCAAAGCUGAUAAAAAUUGUAGACCUAGGAUCCUCUUAUCAGUCAUUAGCAGAAUAGCGUGCGCGCCCCUAGAUAGCUAUGUAUGGUUAUGGAAGCUUAAUUAACGUAUCAAAUACACCUUGGCAAACUUACGCGUAGAAAGAAG
rnacentral:lncRNA from 1 species